GCCGGGCGUGGUGGCGGGCGCCUGUAGUCCCAGAUACUCAGGAGGCUGAGGCAGGAGAAUUGCUUGAACCCAGGAGGUGGAGUUUGCAGUGAGCUGAGAUUGAGCCACUGCACUCCAGCUUGGGUGAGGGAGCAAGACUCUGUCUCAA
rnacentral:SRP_RNA from 1 species